rnacentral:rRNA from 1 species
UACGUAGGGUGCAAGCGUUGCCCGGAUUUAUUGGGCGUAAAGGGCGCGUAGGCGGCUCGGCACGUCCGUUGUGAAAUCGCCCGGCUCAACUGGGCGGGGUCAGCGGAUACGGCCGAGCUUGAGCAAGCUAGGGGGCAAUGGAAUUCCCGGUGUAGUGGUGGAAUGCGUAGAUAUCGGGAGGAACACCAGUGGCGAAGGCGGCCAUCUGGGACAACACUGACGCUGAGGCACGAAAGCGUGGGGAGCAAACAGGG